rnacentral:rRNA from 1 species
GACAGAGGUGCCGAGCGUUAGGCGGAAUCACUGGGCUUAAAGCGUGUGUAGGCGGACUUCUAAGUACCUUGUGAAAUCCCACGGCUCAACCGUGGAACUGCUUGGUAUACUGGUUGUCUUGAGCCACUUAGGGGCAGUCGGAACAGACGGUGGAGCGGUGAAAUGCGUAGAUAUCAAGAGGAACACCUGCGGCGAAGGCGGGUUGCUGGGCCGACACUGACGCUGAGGCGCGAAAGCUAGGGGAGCGAACGGG